CAGCUGUCUGGUUUCUUCACUGUUAAUACAGCAUGAUCGUAUGAUACGCCAGCACAGAAAGAAUGGGAAAAUCGAGCUCCCUUUCAGGCCUCACCCUGCUCAGCACUAUUUCAGUACCACAUUGCAAGUCACAGCAAGAGAAUUCCAAGGAG
rnacentral:lncRNA from 1 species